AGGCUGAGGCACCUGAGUCCGAUUUAGAAAGAGGGGAGAGAGAGAGAGAGGGAGAGAGAAUGAAGCUGCUGCAGAUCUGAGAGUGUUGUGUUUCGCUGUUUUGACGGCUUAGCUCAAACCACAAAGAAGGAAUGGAGUGAAACAGUGAAGGCGAGGUGACGCAGUGAAGGCACAGGGACGACGCGACGCGAACGAAGGAGACAGACGCGGACAGCAGUGAAGGCGCAGGAGCUGGCGGACGCAGACGAACCGGCGACCGU